AUUGAACGCUGGCGGCAUGCCUUACACAUGCAAGUCGAACGGCAGCACGGGAGCAAUCCUGGUGGCGAGUGGCGAACGGGUGAGUAAAGUAUCGGAACGUGCCCAGUCGUGGGGGAUAACGUAGCGAAAGUUACGCUAAUACCGCAUACGAUCUAUGGAUGAAAGCGGGGGAUCGCACGACCUCGCGCGAUUGGAGCGGCCGAUAUCAGAUUAGGUAGUUGUUGGGGUAAAGGCUGACCAAGCCGACGAUCUGUAGCUGGUCUGAGAGGACGACCAGCCACCAGGGGACUGAGACACGGCCCAGACUCCUACGGGAGGCAGCAGUGGGGAAUUUUGGACAAUGGGCGAAAGCCUGAUUCAGCCAUGCCGCGUGCAGGAUGAAGGCCUUCGGGUUGUAAACUGCUUUUGUACGGAACGAAAAGGUUUGGCCUAAUAAGCUGAGCUCAUGACGGUACCGUAAGAAUAAGCACCGGCUAACUACGUGCCAGCCGCCGCCGUAA
rnacentral:rRNA from 1 species